UACGUAGGGUGCGAGCGUUAAUCGGAUUUACUGGGCGUAAAGCGUGCGCAGGCGGCCCGUUAAGACAGGUGUGAAAUCCCUGGGCUCAACCUAGGAAUUGCGCUUGUGACUGGCGGGCUCGAGUACGGUAGAGGGGGGUGGAAUUCCUGGUGUAGCAGUGAAAUGCGUAGAGAUCAGGAGGAACACCGAUGGCGAAGGCAGCCCCCUGGGCCUGUACUGACGCUCAUGCACGAAAGCGUGGGGAACAAACAGG
rnacentral:rRNA from 1 species